rnacentral:rRNA from 14 species
UUGUACACACCGCCCGUCGCUACUACCGAUUGAAUGGCUCAGUGAGGCCUUCGGACUGGCUCAGGGAGGUCGGCAACGACCACCCAGAGCCGGAAAGUUGGUCAAACUCGGUCAUUUAGAGGAAGUAAAAGUCGUAACAAGGUCUCCGUAGGUGAACCUGCGGAGGGAUCAUUA